UACAGGCUUAACACAUGCAAGUCGAGGCGGCAGCAUGGUCUUAGCUUGCUAAGGCCGAUGGCGACCGGCGCACGGGUGAGUAACACGUAUCCAACCUGCCGUCUACUCUUGGACAGCCUUCUGAAAGGAAGAUUAAUACAAGAUGGCAUCAUGAGUCCGCAUGUUCACAUGAUUAAAGGUAUUCCGGUAGACGAUGGGGAUGCGUUCCAUUAGAUAGUAGGCGGGGUAACGGCCCACCUAGUCUUCGAUGGAUAGGGGUUCUGAGAGGAAGGUCCCCCACAUUGGAACUGAGACACGGUCCAAACUCCUACGGGAGGCAGCAGUGAGGAAUAUUGGUCAAUGGGCGAGAGCCUGAACCAGCCAAGUAGCGUGAAGGAUGACUGCCCUAUGGGUUGUAAACUUCUUUUAUAAAGGAAUAAAGUCGGGUAUGGAUACCCGUUUGCAUGUACUUUAUGAAUAAGGAUCGGCUAACUCCGUGCCAGCAGCCGCGGUAAUACGGAGGAUCCGAGCGUUAUCCGGAUUUAUUGGGUUUAAAGGGAGCGUAGAUGGAUGUUUAAGUCAGUUGUGAAAGUUUGCGGCUCAACCGUAAAAUUGCAGUUGAUACUGGAUAUCUUGAGUGCAGUUGAGGCAGGCGGAAUUCGUGGUGUAGCGGUGAAAUGCUUAGAUAUCACGAAGAACUCCGAUUGCGAAGGCAGCCUGCUAAGCUGCAACUGACAUUGAGGCUC
rnacentral:rRNA from 1 species